rnacentral:sRNA from 1 species
AGGGAGGUUAAGUCUGAGGCCAGGACUUAGCCAAAGAAAUGAGGGCUAUCACAAAAUCCUUGGGGAAGGGACAGUGAAUUGUUGGAUGCGAUGGCUGUCUGGAUCUGUCCAGGUAAAAACGAAAAGAUUUUGAGAGCCGGAGUAUAAAAGGAUGGUGAAAAAUGCAUCUUUGAAGUCCAGGACAGUGAAAUAGGUCGUCGAAGGGUCUCACGAAUUCCGCUCA